ACAAGCUCGAGGCUUGGCCCACACAGCCUGCAGAACUAGGGAGCGCGGAAGACACCAUCUCACGGGCACAGAAGGGGCCCUGGGCCCAGAGAAGACCUUCGCACACUGCAAGGUAACCCUCUGGAGGUGGCCCUAGAAUGUUCUCAGACCCUGGGAAACAAAAUCUGAAAGCGAAGAUGAGCUGCUUGUGCCCCGAUCUGACCUGAGAUAGCAUAGGGAGUUUUAUGAUGUUCUUGGUACUUGCGAAUCUGAAAUAUCUUCCGAGGAGCUGUGAUGCACACGGAACACUCACAAGAGUAAUGAAAGCCUGAAGCAUCCAGGGCCCUCCUGGAGCAGCAGAGGGGAGCUCAGACGCCGCGAUAAGAUUCUGGGAAGUGAAAUGGGCUCAAGAUCUCGACCACUAGAGAGCUCUCCAAGGAUGCCCUACCAGGACCUUUGUCACUGGUGAACUGUUUCCUCCCCAAGAUUCUUUCCAGCUGAGCUAAGAGAUUUCUGGAGCCUCUCGCCAUGGUCAGAACAUCUCUUGAAUGACCAGGAAAUGGGGCUUCCUGUUUAAAUCUCUCGGGCAGAGACAAGGCAGAUGAGCCUGCCUAAGUCUUUAGAAAGAGCUGUAGGGAAGACCAGAGAUGGCUCAUCAUGCCAGGAUGUCCACUGUGGCCGCACCCAGUGUGCCAGAGGUCUAUGGCAGCGAUAGGGGUUACCUGGGAAUCUAGGGUUGGUAUUCGGUGUGAGUCUUGGUGAAAGUGCCCAGGGGAAAAGUUCCCCUGAAGACAGUGAGUCUAACAGUGGCCAAGUGGCACCUUCCUGCUGCCUGGCACACCUGUAAAGGUGAGCCAGGGUCACAGACAGGAGCUGGAGGAUGUCAGUCACAAACAAAUCAAAAUAGUGAAACAGAAAACAAGGGGCUGAUGCUGCACAGUUAAAACAUAUAUAUGUUAUAGAUCUUGAUAGAACUGGAAAGAAAAAAAAAAAAAAAAAAAGGCAGGAUCAACACUCCAGUCCCAUGGAAGCCGAGUGGCUUUCGUGGUGUGUUAACAACGGCACAGUCCAGGCUAAAGAGGGUGGUUUCAUGUUGAAUAAGGGGUAUUUUUACUAAAAAAAAAAAAAAAAAAAAAAAAA
rnacentral:lncRNA from 1 species